CACCAACAAGGUUUCCAGUUGACUAUAGCCGCCACCGGUAAACCCAGUGACAUUCAGAAUGUGUUCCCGGCGGAACCUCCUCGUCCUGUACAUUAUUUUGUAACUAAGGGUUGUUUCCAUGAUAAGCAUAUGUUUAAGUAGAUUUAUAUUUGUUUAAGUAGAUUUAGACUAAGGUUUGUUAAAAAAGAACCUUAAAGAACUGAAUACCGAAUAGUAUAUCUCUUUUAAAUGGGACAAUGGAGCUCUAUCUUAGAUCUGCUCCCACAAUUGCCUGAUACUUUGUUUUAUCAGCUACAAGUAAGUUCUUAGUCUACAUCUGGUCCAAUAUUUGGAUAGGUUAGUAUUUUGUAGAUUGAAUUGGUAUGGAGCAACUUCUUUUUGAUAGUGCUAAUCACUUUGCGUGUAGUUUAUGUCAGAAUAAAUUUUUCUUUUUUAAUCAGUGAUGAGAUGAAGAUAAAACAAAGUAACUUUUCAUUUAAUAUUUAAAAGAAUUUCCCUGCUUUCUAAGCAAGUCAAGGGGGCUACAUUGCAACUCUGUUGUUGUUAUCAUAAGAUCACAAUUUCAGGACUACAUUGAAAAUGUGCCGUUAGCAUAAGAUCUCGAUUUCAGUUGUGAGGUGUCAUUAUGUAUCAUAUAAGUAGGCUUGCAGAAAAUAUCUUAUUUGAUAUAUGCAGGUAUACCUGCAUUUACUGUUCUAUCAAGGUAUCAAAUGUGAUCUAACAUUGUUUGUAGGGUAAAAAAGAGUCAUUAGUAGUGGUCACUCAGCUUUAUGAACUAGCUAUUUCAAGCUAGUUGGUUGAGCUAUUCUGGAUACAUAAGUGUGUAAUAUUAUUGAGAAAAUUAGGUUGGACGAAAUGCUAUCAUGAGUUGUUCUCUUGGGUUCUCUCGUUUUUGGCUGUUGACUUAUACUUCUUUGCUCAUUAGUUUUGAACUUAAUUUGGUGAAAAAAAAUCUCCUGAUUUCAGUCUGUUUGCUGUCAAAAAGUUCAGCUCUGACCUGCUUUUGCCCAUAUAUUUUUCCCUCUUUCUUUGACAAGUAGCUGUAAGAUGAGUUAAAAUCUUUGGAAUUUUGUUAAGCUUCAUUUUGUUUGGUCCAUGCAGAUUCUGCUUUUUUAGGUGCAGUUGUUUCAAGUUAUAAUGUGAUGGAUGUUUUGACAUUCAAUAUCGUCAUUGCUCUUUUACCAGUACAUGUUUGUUUUACAGAUCAGAAACUGUUGAGACUUUAUCAUUUAAUGGCUGCAGUUAAAUAAAACUCAUAUCAAGCCAUAAAUUGCUCUAAUGGAUCUGUUUUGCUGAGCAAUUGAUGUUUAAAAUGUUACUUGGAGGAAGCCUAUCAGCAACUUUUUGAGGAAUGGCGUCAAACCGAUUCCGAAGAUGGUAGCUCAACCCAAGUAUCACUCAAUGAUGUAGCUUCAAUAUGGUCGCAGGUGGUUGGUGGCGCAAAUAAAGGUAGAACCUACGGUCUUGGAUCACAAUAUUCCGUAGGUCGUUCUACGACAUUGUUGUCUGGUGAUGCGAGUUAUUCGCAAGAUCACGAAGAGGUGGAAGCAUUACGAAAAGAAGUUAAAGAGUUGAAGGAGGAACGGAAAGAAGAUCGCGCAAAUUUUAACAAAUUGCAAAGUCUAGUGGAGAAAUUUAUGAGCGGACGUCCAUUUGGUCCUUUGAAUGGCGAGGAUGGUGGGGAUAAUGAGUUUUAGUUUGUUAUGGUUAUGAUGUUUGAGACAUUAUUAUUUGUUGUAGUUGGAUGUUUAGACUUGGUAAUGUUUACACUUGACUAUGAUUAUAAUAUUUUAGACUAGAUUGAAUGGUGCUAGAAUAUUUAACUCUUUUUGGAUCUUUUAGUUACAAAAUUUAUGUUUGGCAUUUUAUGGA